AACGAACGCUGGCGGCAUGCCUAACACAUGCAAGUCGAACGAGACCUUCGGGUCUAGUGGCGCACGGGUGCGUAACGCGUGGGAAUCUGCCCUUGGGUUCGGAAUAACAGUUGGAAACGACUGCUAAUACCGGAUGAUGACGUAAGUCCAAAGAUUUAUCGCCCAGGGAUGAGCCCGCGUAGGAUUAGCUAGUUGGUGGGGUAAAGGCCUACCAAGGCGACGAUCCUUAGCUGGUCUGAGAGGAUGAUCAGCCACACUGGGACUGAGACACGGCCCAGACUCCUACGGGAAGCAGCAGUGGGGAAUAUUGGACAAUGGGCGAAAGCCUGAUCCAGCAAUGCCGCGUGAGUGAUGAAGGCCUUAGGGUUGUAAAGCUCUUUUACCCGGGAUGAUAAUGACAGUACCGGGAGAAUAAGCCCCGUCUAACUCCGUG
rnacentral:rRNA from 1 species